UGGGGAAUAUUGCGCAAUGGGCGAAAGCCUGACGCAGCGACGCCGCGUGGAGGAAGACGGCCUUCGGGUUGUAAACUCCUGUCAGGGGUGAAGAAACUUCGCAAGAAGCUGACGGUAACCCCAGAGGAAGCCCCGGCUAACUACGUGCCAGCAGCCGCGGUAAUACGUAGGGGGCAAGCGUUGCUCGGAAUUACUGGGCGUAAAGGGUGUGUAGGUGGCUGAUUAAGUUAAGGAUGAAAUCCCGAGGCUCAACUUCGGAACUGUCCUUGAUACUGGUCAGCUUGAGGCUAGUAAAGGAGAGCGGAAUUCCCGGUGGAGCGGUGAAAUGCGUAGAUAUCGGGAGGAACGCCAGUGGCGAAGACAGGUGACUGGGCCGGUUCUGACACUGAGGCACGAAAGCGUGGGGAGCGAACG
rnacentral:rRNA from 1 species